rnacentral:rRNA from 1 species
UACCAAAUGUCGACACCCGACCGGUGGUCACGACUUAGGCCGCCUGUCGUCUCCUAAGCCGGGUGUCGAGAUUGACCCGGGCACCCGGUGGUCUUUAAGAGGGGGUUUGAAAUGAAUUGGGGGACGGGUUGGCGCUUUUUUUCUUGAGCUGUGGGGGUUCCGGAGUGGGUUGGAGACGGUGACGGCGAAGGGGGCCGCAAGCAACGGGGGAGGCUGGUCGGCCGCGUGGGGCGUGACGUGCGGUACUUCUAACGCCACCUCCCUACGUACGUGCCCCUCGACCUGUUCCAGAUGCUGUGCUACGUCGCCGAGCUCCGCCGGCUCCCAUAGUUCUAGCUGGAGGAGUAGACGACGCCGCUGAAGGUCCGACAUUCCUUACUCUCACUAAAUGUCACACAUUUACAGGGUGGUUUCAAAGCAUGGUACUUGAGCAAAACCUUCAUGAUGAGACCCGUUCGUCAACGGGGUAUGGGUUGAUAGAAGUAGCCGCCCUUAGUACUUCGUCGGUUAAUAAACACCCUUGACAUGAUACCUCCUACCCGUCGUGGAUUGUAGAUGAAGAACCCCAAACGACCACAACAAUUCAAACCUUUAUAAGCUUAACCACCUUACAGUCCUUAUGUAUUCGUUGUACUAAUAAUGGCUCCUGUGGUACUCUCCGGAGGUAUGCUAUUACGAUGAUAUGCUAGUCACAUGGUACAUUCCGUAAUGCUACAAGAGUUCGAUUACGUACACUUCCUCGGAGAUCUAUAUAAGUACAGUGUACUGACCGGAGAACCGUAAUGACUUAUACCUUUGGCCCUCUCCGAGGAAGCUCUCUUUGGCAAGAAGUUUCUUCUCCAGUUGCUCUCUUGUAAUCCGUCACUUAGACGUCGUUUUAAUGACUUGUUUAAUUUUGGUGGCAUGACCAAAAGUCGAGUAGAAGUAACAUCUAAAGGUCGAUAGUAAGUUGUACCACUCCUACCUGGAUGCUGAUUCAAAGAACGAGAACUAUUCACGGAAGGGCCCGCCUUAAAAAACGUCCAUUAUCUGUAAGGUAGGUUAGGCCCUGGUAUACUUUAAGUCAUACUACUUCUUACCGAACGUUAUUGUGCCUCUAAGUUAUCACGAAAGGGGAAUUGAGCCUACGGCACAUGUUAAGCCUUACUUCUUGAACUAUAACUUCUACUGGCCGUCACCCAAUCCUCGUUCAACUUACGAUCUCCCCGAUUCUGUAAACUAAAACAGGUCUGACGAGGUGGAAUACUAGGCAGGUCUGGUCAAAUAUUAGGGGGGUAUCGUCAAGGAACGUCUUUGGGUGUUUGACUUAGUAAAGAGGUCAAAAAUCUUGAGGGUAUAGACGACCUGAGCAGAUUAGGACCGCCACGACUAUAUUUGCAUAGCUCGAGAGUCCGUCGUGGACGUGAACUGUUGCUGCUGUAUCUCGAGGGGCUACUUCAACUUCUGCUGCUUCUACUACUCCUCACUUCGUGAAUUUCAUCACCUAAGCAACCUCCAAAUUGAUCCUGUUCAAGACAACAUAUAGGGACGCAGGUCCCAAAACAACGGUCGAUACAACUACCUACAGUAAUGGAGACAUCUCGUAUUGACGUCUUCCUUUUGAUUGAACAUCUGGCGUCAUGGCAUGUCAUUGGAACGAACUAAUGCUCCACAUUGACCUCAAUAUACGAUCGUG